rnacentral:rRNA from 1 species
UACGUAGGGUGCGAGCGUUAAUCGGAAUUACUGGGCGUAAAGCGUGCGCAGGCGGUUUUGUAAGCCAGAUGUGAAAUCCCCGGGCUUAACCUGGGAAUGGCAUUUGGGACUGCAAGGCUUGAGUGCGGCAGAGGAGACUGGAAUUCCUGGUGUAGCAGUGAAAUGCGUAGAUAUCAGGAGGAACACCGAUGGCGAAGGCAGGUCCCUGGGCUGACACUGACGCUCAUGCACGAAAGCGUGGGGAGCAAACAGG